UAGAACUGUUGCUAGAGGUAGGGGCCCGAAC
rnacentral:piRNA from 1 species